AUUUCCUUGUGCCAACAUUCAAAACACAGAGAUGAUGGCUGAUGUAUUGAAACUAUCCGAUUUAAGGCAGCAGAAGCUUUCUGAAACUUUUACCCAACUUCACAAUCAUGCUUCUUCUGUUCUUUCACUUACUCUCCAAUGGAAAGAACUGGAAGAACAGUUCCACUCCACCCACUCCUCCAUUGAAGAGCGCGCUAAAGAGCUUCGCUUGAUGGAACAAUCUCUGGUGGAUCGCUACAAAGAACUUGAAGCGAAAGAGAAGCAAGUUGAUUUGAUGGAAGAAUCAGUGAAAAUAAGGGAGACGGAACUUGAACUCAAAGAGAAGGAUCUUGAUUUGAGUCGAAGAUUGGCCGUUGAAGAACAACAGAAAGAGAUUGAGUGGAUUCAGCAGUCAUCCAAAGAACUUAAUUCAACCCAAGAAUCAAUCAAGAAGUACUUGAAGGAGCUCACACAAAAGGAGGAGCAACUCGAGUUGCUUAAUAAAUCCAUUCAUGAGGAGUUUGAUUUGAAGAAGAAGCAGUUCAGGUCAGAUGUAGAGAUGUUCCAGGAAGAAAUAAAAGAUUUUCAAGUCAAAUCUCUGACAUUCAAGUUUUGUGUUGAGGGAUUCAAUUUGGAAAGGGAACGGUUGAAAGACAAGUCCAAAGAACUAGAACUGAAAGAGGGUAUUUUCCAAAAACGUUCGGAAGAACUUGAAUUGAAGGAGAAGCAAUUAGAAGAGAAAUCCAAACAACUUGAAAGGAAAGAUGAGGAAUUUGAAAAAAAAUUAAAAGAACUGGAAUUGAGUGAAAAACAGUCUCAACCGAUAAAGCUGAGAAGAAGUAAACGUCAUUCAUGCUCUGUGGAGGCUUCUACCAAUGUCAAAAAACCUUACAAUCUCAGAGAUACACAGAAGAAAGCUCGCUACACCCGUUGAUCAUCGGAUUACUACAAGUUUGAUGUAUCAUUUACAGUCAUUUAUGCUUAUUCUAGUUCUAGUUUAGCUUCUUCUAGUUCUAGUUUAGCUUUAAUUGAU
rnacentral:misc_RNA from 1 species